rnacentral:misc_RNA from 1 species
CAUAGAGUCUGCUCUAGAAGAGAAUUGAACAAUGGACUCUGGUGCAAACAACCAUCUCACAACAUAAGAAGGCAACAUCUCUCAAAAGUCAAAUUAUUAUGGCACUGACAAAAUUAUAAUUGGCAAUGGAUAUCCACACGAAACAGAUUUUGUUUCAAGGCUCGAGUCUACACCAUGCCACUUCAAAUUAAAUCCUUGCCGCCACCGCAAGCCAACACUGCUACUUUGAGUACUUGGCAUGCUUGAUUGGGUCAUGCCAAUGAUAGAGUUCUUCAUAAAGUUCUUUCCCAUUAUAAUUUGUUAUCUGUUAGGAAUAAAAAUUGUGAUGUCCUUUGCAAUGCAUGCAACAUUAGCAAAACGCAUAAACUUUCUUUUUCUAAAUAUAACGAUAAAAUUACUAGACCUCUUGAAUUAAUUUGUUCUAAUGUUUGGGGAC